CUUUGGGAACCACCUGUCCCGUUUGCUUGUCACCCAGUUACACACAUAUCUACCACCGCUUGAAUACGUGUAAAGAAGACAUGGACUAUAGAGAAAGAAAGGCAAGUUCUGAGAUUUUUGCUUCCCAUCUCAAAUAUACCUCUGAAUUAUGGCCGUUGGUUCGUCACGGUGGUCUACCCCACGCAACGUAUUCCGGCAACCAUCUUUCUCACCGUCGGCUCCUCAUGCUAAACGUACUUUGGUUUAGUUAUCCCUGGAAUAAGGCCUUGCUUUGAUUUCCGGCUUCGAUGUUGGGUGGUUGUUGAUGCCAAUGGUCAUCAGAGUAUGGUGGUCGGUGGUUAUUCAAAGUGAUUUAGCUUUCUGCUUCAGCUGAUUGCUUAUCUUUUCAUCUCAUUUAUUAGGAAAUAUUUGGGUUUACGGCUUUUGAACAAGAUGUGGUAGUAGAAACCUGAACACACGUUUUUGGUCUCGAGUGAGUCUCGAGGCUAUGCUUUUGGAUAUACAACUUUUGGACAAAAGAUGGGCAGUUUGUAUCGGGUUAGAUUUCAGUGUUGAGAUUGCUUUGUUGACGUUGUUGUGCUGAUUGUUGUUAAUUGAAUAUAUUUAUAAACAUCAAUAAGUUGGAGAAAAAAAUGUGCUUUUGUGUGAGUGGUUGUGGUGUAGUAGGCACUCCAUUUUGGAUUUCUUGAUUAAGAUUUGCAGGAACUACUACUUGCAGCAAUUGGCAUGGUGGAUGCAAACUCCAAAUUAGGGGGUUAUGUGGUCUACUCCACAUGAGAAUGAAAUGUUAUACACUAUGCACUCAAGAAGAGGGAUGUGAAACAUGUGCCAUGCAUAUUAGACUUUGGUCGCCCAGGUAGGUUUGUUCGCUUUAGGAAAAGCCGAUUUCAUCCUUUGUUGGAAAAGACGAGACAUUUUUAUCCUCAUGUUCAUAACAUGGAUGGCUUUUUUGUGGCGAAGGUAUCCUGUCUCCCUCCACUUGAAAUUGCACAUAUAUUACAAGUGGCAAAUUAGGUACAUAAAAACUAACUAGAUGUGUCAAAACAUUAUCAGAAUACACGCAUGCUUAUACACACACACAUAUUUAUAUAUAGAAAGAGGGACAAGUUUUAUGCAUUAUCACUUUUGCCAAAUACCAUUAUUUUGCUGUUAAUGGAUCUCCGAACACCUCUGUAUUCUCUGAAUCUUGUGACAUCCCCAUAUUCUUUAAUAUUAGGUGUUUUCAUCAUCCCAAAUUGAUCCGACGCACUCCCCAAACUGCAUUUCAGACACAUAAAAUUCUCGAAAAAUUAUGUUACCAGUUUUUUCCCAACAAUCAUUCCAUUAUUUUAAUUUUUUUUGGAAUGAAUAGGGUCUUGGUCUCAAACGGUGAAAUUAAGGAAUUGGAUCAAUUUAGAUCUACUUUUUUUAAGAAGUUAUGAAGUUUUACAAUAGAACGUAUAUUUACAUAAUUAAUAAAUCUAUACCUUCAUAGAAAAUUGGUUUAAUUAGUUACAUACAUUUAAGUGUAAUCUUUCAAUUGUUAAAGUGAUUGUUGGUACUAUAACAAGUCAAAUCGGCACCUAUACAUUGAAGUUUAAUCUUUCAAUUGUUAUGCCAUUGUAACGAAUCAAAUCGACGCCGAUACGAUUAAGUUUAAUCUUUCAAUUGUUGAAACAAUUAUUGGUAUUGUAAUGCAUUGAAUGUUAAAGCGAUUGUUGGUAUUGUAAAAAAAAUUGGUAUUGUAAAAAAAAUACGCUGCAACGUCGGGUACUUCUUCUAUUUUGUUUAAUUUGUAAGCCCCCGACCGCAACGCGGCGGGGUUUAACCCUAGUUUGAUUUAUUUAACAUGUUCAUUAAAAGAAAAACCUUAUAAUCUGUGUUUCUGAUAAGUUCUAUUUUCUUGAAACAAAAUACAAAAUAAAUCAUAUUUCAAACCCUUUAUAUUGAUAAAUUUUAUUAAAAUGGGGUUUUCAAAAUUGCUUAUUGUUAAUUACUUAUUCUAAGGUCAAUUCGUUUGUGUAUAGUCAAUUGUUCAUUGUGAAUUGGUGUAUUGAUUGUAUUAGCAAAUUAGUUUGAAAAUAACACGAGAAUACCAACCGCUCUUAUUACAGACGAAACCUGCCGCAAAGUGCGGGGUUCCUUACUAGUUAUUACUAUAUACAUUUAGUGUAGUUUCUUAUAUACAGUAUAUAUAGAAAACCUCUUUUGUUACUUUAUUACCAAAAUGCCAUCAUUUUGUUUUUCAUUUAUUUUUGCACCACAAAGUUAAUCGGUGACUGAUAAGGGUGGUAUUUUUUGUCUUCUUUUUUGUUUUUGUACUAGAAUUUUGACCCUGCCGUGCGUUGCGGCGGCAACAUCACGUUUGUGGCUUACUCGCAAACUCUUCUUUCAAGCUUUUUUUUUUAAUGUUUGACGACUCCACAAAUUAUAGCAAGUUGAUAAUAAAAAAAUGUUAUGCCAAUAACAAUCCCAACCAUUAAUAAACCGAAUUAGGGCGUUUUAUUUAUUAAAAUAGAGUUUUUGGCCCACUUUUGAACCGUUUGACCAGUUCAAGCCCAUUUCCCCUGGGUCAAAACUAUGACCUCUAAAAAUUCAUGAUCUAUUCAUUCCAUUGUUACAUAACGGCAAUAUAUCACAAAAAUAUGCAAAUAAAAGCUAAAAGCUUACAUAAAGUACCUUAUGGUGGGGUAUAUACUGUUGCCAAGCAUAUCUUCAUGCUCCAAAAAGCAAGAUCAUUGAUCUAGGGGGAAGAUAAAUAGCACUCCUAAAGAAAUUUGGACUAUUUGUAUCUCACCACAGAUGCUCUAGACUCCACAAUGCAAGAUCCUAAGAAUGAAAGGCAGUAAAUUGAGCCCUCGAAUGUUGAAUGGGUAUCUACAUGCGGGAUAAACCCACACCUGUGGGGUAUUAGUUAACCUGUAUCAAAGUAUAGAAAAUAUCUUUAUUUCUCACAAAAAAUGGAAUUAGAAGGGGCUAAAUAAACAUUCCUUGGCUUACCAAUGGAGGUGGCAAAAUGGGACCGUUCGGCAACGGGUCAAAACGGGUAAUUUAGGCACUGUUUGGGUUGGCUCCCAAAACAC